rnacentral:rRNA from 1 species
UAGGGAAUCUUCCGCAAUGGACGCAAGUCUGACGGAGCAACGCCGCGUGAGUGAAGAAGGAUUUCGGUUCGUAAAACUCUGUUGUUAGAGAAGAACAGCGCAUAGAGUAACUGUUAUGCGUGUGACGGUAUCUAACCAGAAAGCCACGGCUAACUACGUGCCAGCAGCCGCGGUAAUACGUAGGUGGCAAGCGUUGUCCGGAUUUAUUGGGCGUAAAGCGAGCGCAGGCGGUCAAUUAAGUCUGAUGUGAAAGCCCCCGGCUCAACCGGGGAGGGUCAUUGGAAACUGGUUGACUUGAGUGCAGAAGAGGAGAGUGGAAUUCCAUGUGUAGCGGUGAAAUGCGUAGAUAUAUGGAGGAACACCAGUGGCGAAGGCGACUCUCUGGUCUGUAACUGACGCUGAGGCUCGAAAGCGUGAGUAGCAAACAGG